GCUCGACUGCUGCUGAAAAAGUUGUCGUGUUACCCCAAUAGACAAUCGGCGGGGACUAUGUUUGUUUUACCAGUCGAUCCCGAACGAAAGGAUUGUAUUUCCGACGAAUACGGAAGCCAAUGCUUCGUCGCAGGUGAUCAACGAGUCAAUCAGUACACUGGUCCAACUGUGUCUUGCACAUCGUCGUUUGGCUUCGUUUGCACGACAAGUAUGCUAACCAGCUGGCUUUGAUCAACUCCCAAUGGGACGAUGAGAAACUUUACCAGGAGACUAAGGAAAUCGUUAUAGCUUUGGUGCAACACAUCACCUACAACGAAUAUCUGCCAUCUGUUUUUUGGGACCCAAUUUAAUGGAAGAAUACGGCCUACUCCCUCUCACAACUGGUUACACUUACACAUCCCGCUUUUAAGGCUCAAAUAACAAAUGAGUUUGAUACUGCUGCAUUCCGUUACGGACAUUCAUUCUCUCAUUCGCAACUAUACAUGCAACGAGUAAAAAAAGAUGGUUUUUUCCCGUCUUCUUUUGGUUUCUGCGGUUCCCGUUGCCCUUGUGCUGUCUGCUGAUUGGUUACAGUUUGUUUGAUUUUUC